rnacentral:rRNA from 1 species
UACGAAUGGAGCGAGCGUUGUUCGGUCUUAUUGGGCUUAAAGGGUGCGUAGGCGGCCUUGUAAGUCAGAGGUGAAAUCCCCCGGCUCAACUGGGGAAUUGCCUUUGAUACUGCGAGGCUUGAGAGUUGGAGGGGAGAGCGGAAUUCCCGGUGUAACAGUGAAAUGUGCAGAUAUCGGGGAGAAGGUCGAUGGCGAAGGCAGCUCUCUGGACAACUUCUGACGCUGAGGCACGAAAGCUAGGGGAG